rnacentral:rRNA from 1 species
UGCCCAACUAUAACACAACAAUUAAAUAACCCAUUGUUCGCCAAAUAACUACGAGUAAAAACUUAAAAUUUAAAAGACUUGACGGUGCCUCAAACCAACCUAGAGGAGCCUGUCUAAUAACCGAUACCCCACGAUAAACCCGACCCACUCUAGCCUACAGUCUAUAUACCGCCGUCGCCAGCCUACCUUGUGAAAGAAACAAAGUGAGCCUAAUAGCCCCACACUAAUACGACAGGUCGAGGUGUAACUUAUGGGUGGGAACAAGAUGGGCUACAUUUUCCAACACAGAAAAUACGAAUUAAUCUAUGAAAUAAGAAACUGAAGGCGGAUUUAGCAGUAUGCUGAGAACAAUAUACCCAGCUGAAACCAACGCAAUGAGGUGCGUACACACCGCCCGUCAUCCCUGUC